UGCGUAGGCGGAAGAUUAAGUCAGUGGUGAAAUCCUGCAGCUCAACUGUAGAACUGUCAUUGAUACUGAUCUUCUUGAAUACAGUUGAGGUAGGCGGAAUAUGUAAUGUAACGGUGAAAUGCUUAGAUAUUACAUAGAACACCGAUUGCGAAGGCAGCUUACUAAACUGUGAUUGACGCUGAGGCACGAAAGCGUGGGGAGCGAACAGGAUUAGAUACCCUGGUAGUCC
rnacentral:rRNA from 1 species